AUACGGAGGAUGCAAGCGUUAUCCGGAUUUAUUGGGUUUAAAGGGUGCGUAGGCGGAUGAUUAAGCGUGAGGUGAAAUGCCACUGCUCAACAGUGGAACUGCCUCGCGAACUGGUUGUCUUGAAUGCUCCUGCCGUGGGAGGAAUGUGUGGUGUAGCGGUGAAAUGCAUAGAGAUCACACAGAACACCGAUUGCGAAGGCAUCUCACGAAGGGGUGAUUGACGCUGAGGCACGAAAGCGUGGGGAUCAAACAGGAUUAGAUACCCUGGUAGUCCACGCCGUAAACGGUGAAUACUAGGUGUAGGGGGUAUCGACUCCCUCUGUGCCGCAGUUAACACAAUAAGUAUUCCGCCUGGGGAGUACGGCCGCAAGGUUGAAACUCAAAGGAAUUGACGGGG
rnacentral:rRNA from 1 species